rnacentral:rRNA from 1 species
AGAGUUUGAUCCUGGCUCAGGACGAACGCUGGCGGCGUGCUUAGCACAUGCAAGUCGAGCGAUGAAACACCUUCGGGUGUGAAUUAGCGGCGAACGGGUGAGGAACACGUGAAGAAUCUGCCUUCAACUCUGGGAUAACUCCGGGAAACCGGGGCUAAUACCGGAUAUGAGCCUCGAUCGCAUGAUUGGGGCUGGAAAGUUUUUCGGUUGAAGAUGACUUCGCGGCCUAUCAGCUUGUUGGUGAGGUAAUGGCUCACCAAGGCGACGACGGGUAGCCGGCCUGAGAGGGCGACCGGCCACACUGGGACUGAGACACGGCCCAGACUCCUACGGGAGGCAGCAGUGGGGAAUAUUGGGCAAUGGAGGAAACUCUGACCCAGCGACGCCGCGUGAGGGAUGAAGGCCUUCGGGUUGUAAACCUCUUUCAGUAGGGAAGAAGCGAAAGUGACGGUACCUACAGAAGAAGCACCGGCUAACUAUGUGCCAGCAGCCGCGGUAAUACAUAGGGUGCAAGCGUUGUCCGGAAUUAUUGGGCGUAAAGAGCUCGUAGGUGGUUCGAUACGUCGGAUGUGAAAAUCAGGGGCUCAACCCCUGACCUGCAUCCGAUACGGUCGAGCUAGAGUUUGGUAGGGGAGACUGGAAUUCCUGGUGUAGCGGUGGAAUGCGCAGAUAUCAGGAGGAACACCGAUGGCGAAGGCAGGUCUCUGGGCCAAUACUGACACUGAGGAGCGAAAGCGUGGGGAGCGAACAGGAUUAGAUACCCUGGUAGUCCACGCCGUAAACGGUGGGCGCUAGUUGUGCGAACCUUCCACGGUUUGUGCGACGCAGCUAACGCAUUAAGCGCCCCGCCUGGGGAGUACGAUCGCAGAUUAAAACUCAAGGAAUUGACGGGGCCCGCACAAGCAGCGGAGCAUGCG